CAAACAUCCUGUCUUCCUUUUACUCCAUAAACCGCUUAAGAUUAACCUCAGAGUAAAUCUGUCUUUUGUCCUCGCCAGUGCCUUGCAUAUACAGUCUGCUUUUAAUAAUAUUUAUUGAAUGAAUAGAGUAGCCUUCUGUUCGCUUCAGAGUCAGUUCCAAAAUGCUUUUCAGACAUUAGUAUAUCUUGUCUGAGAUUUGUGUUUUACCCUGAAACCUCUCAAACGCCACCCUUUUCUGAACUUAAGUGAAGAAUGUAUUAUAGCAAAGGGCUCUUCUUCAUCCCUCCCCUCCUCUUCCUCCUCGGGUAUUUGGUGAGAAAGCUGACAGAGUCCAAAUUUGAGUUAGAAUAUAACACGGUGUGUUCCCCAAAGAGGAAAAAAAUGAUCUAUUUUCGAUCUUGUGUUUCAGAACACAUGCCUGUGUGGCUUUCUAAUCCACUGUGUCCCCAGCUGUUUCCUCAGCUUGCCCUCAGCUCGCUGCUGCUUUCCUGCCCAUCCCCUGGCCGCGGGAAAUGGGGUGAACUUGACCCAGUUCAGAGGUUGGAUUUCAGUGAGUACCGGGAGUGGUCAGUCAAAUGCUCCUCCCCAGGUGCCUCCUGCCCAGGCAGGUGAGCCAGCCAGUGGGACCUACACGGGGCCAGGUGCCCCGGGAUGGUGGCUGUGGGCUGGGACGACCCUGCCUGCAGGUCAGCUCCAGCUGCCUGCGUGUCUGCUGCAGGGUGUGGUCCUUCCCUGCCCUGGGGGAGCUGGACGGAGCGCUGGGUCCCAGCGAAGGAGCCCAGCGCGGCUUCCCUUCACCGCGCUUCCCGAGGGUUUCAGCCACGAGAACAGAUUGCAGCUGUGGCCUGAGCAUCUUUAGAAGCAUGAGUCAUGUCUUUUUUCCCCUGAAGAAGCUAUUUUGGGCUUUCUGAUUGCAUAUUCCCAUGUUGUUCCCCCAUAGAGCGAGUGAGGAGAAUGACUUGCAUUUUUAAAAAUAGAAAGCGGCAGGCUUCUCUGCUCUUCCGUCUUGCACCCCGGACCAGCGAUUCCUGAACUCGGCCGUGCACCCCCUCCCCUCGGGGGAGCGCCUGCGAGAUGUAAACUCCUGCAAGGGAGUCCAGAAAGCAGUUGAAUAAACCCUCCAGUUCCUUCCUGGGCUGCCUGACGGGCUCCCCCUGAAUGUGGGGAUCCCUUUCGAACCUCCUCCACCUCCCCCGGUGAUGAUUCGGAUCGGAGUGAAAUGGGUGUUUUCGUGGGGCGGUAAGAGCUCCGGGUCGGGCAUCAGCAGGCCUGCAUCCUGGUGUGAGCCCCACCACCGACCCCUCCACACAAGCCUCUUCUCCUGUGUGGCCCUCAGUUCCCGUCACUGCAGGUCCCCGGUCCUGCCCAAGUGGCCUCCAGCCCCAUGCUGCUGCGUUCAAACCGAGUCCUUCUCAUGCACCCUCCCUGGCAACUGCCCCCACUGCAUUUGUUCACAGAGGUUGCCCAUCGUCACUUCUCGAGUGACAUGUGUUUAACCUGGAUUGGUACUGCAUUCUGGGCCAGAGAUUUAAUGAAACUAACUGAGACCUUGUCGGGAGCAGCUCCUGAUGGUUAGACAGCCUUGCGGGACUGUUUAUCUCCCACACAGAUGGGACUGCUCUCAUCUUCUGAACACUCAAUAGAGUUAAAUGUGCUUUUCCCACUACGGAUGUUUUAUUCUUUGAAGUAUCGACUUUAUGGCUAGCCAAGAGUUCUUUGAGAAGGAUCAGACCUUCA